GGAAUCUUCCACAAUGGGCGCAAGCCUGAUGGAGCAACACCGCGUGAGUGAAGAAGGGUUUCGGCUCGUAAAGCUCUGUUGUUAAAGAAGAACACGUAUGAGAGUAACUGUUCAUACGUUGACGGUAUUUAACCAGAAAGUCACGGCUAACUACGUGCCAU
rnacentral:rRNA from 1 species